rnacentral:rRNA from 1 species
UGAGCAACCUGCCCUUGACCCUGGAAUAACAGCUGGAAACAGCUGCUAAUACCGGAUACGACCUCCGAUGGCAUAAUCUGGAGGUGGAAAGCUCCGACGGUCAAGGAUGGGCUCGCGGCCUAUCAGCUUGUUGGUGAGGUAACGGCUCACCAAGGCUUCGACGGGUAGCCGGCCUGAGAGGGUGAUCGGCCACACUGGGACUGAGAUACGGCCCAGACUCCUACGGGAGCAG